CUGGUGGUAAAGCUUUCAAGUCAAACCAACCUGCAUUCAAACCUUAGCUUCACCCUAACUAGCUAUAUAGCCUUGGGUCACUUACUUAACCUCUCUGAACUUCCAAGUUUUCACUUGUAGAAUGGAAUUUAGAACCCUCCUCAUCGCAUGUUGUGACAAUUAAGUGGGAUAGUGUUGGCAAAGUGCUUCGCACAGCUGCUGACCCUGCCUCGUUCCAGAGAAGGGAAUUUAGAAUCAAUGAAUGGGGAAAAUAAGUCAGCGCUGCGAGCAGUCGGGAAAUGGCACAAGCCCAGCAAGUGUUUAACCUGUUUCCUCUGAGGGGCUGAAGCUCAGAGGAAAUUCUGCC
rnacentral:lncRNA from 1 species